rnacentral:tRNA from 1 species
GGGCGGCGUGGUCGAGGUCCGGGCCACCUCCGUGCCUGCCGGGCUCGGCGAACCGGUCUUCGACAAGCUGGACGCCCGCC